rnacentral:rRNA from 1 species
AACGGCUGAGUAACACGUGGGCAACCUGCCCUCCUCUUGGGGAUAGCCUCGGGAAACCGAGGAUAAUACCCGAUACUUCAAUGUGGCCGCAUGACGACAUUGAGAAAGCUUUUGCGGAGAAGGAUGGGCCCGCGGCCUGUUAGCUUGUUGGUGGGGUAGAGGCCUACCAAGGCAAUGAUGGGUAGCUGGGUUGAGAGACCGACCAGCCAGAUUGGGACUGAGACACGGCCCAGACUCCUACGGGAGGCAGCAGUGGGGAAUCUUGCACAAUGGGCGAAAGCCUGAUGCAGCGACGCCGCGUGCGGGAAGAAGGCCUUCGGGUUGUAAACCGCUUUCAGCAGGGACGAGGCGAAAGUGACGGUACCUGCAGAAGAAGCCCCGGCUAACUACGUGCCAGCAGCCGCGGUAAUACGUAGGGGGCAAGCGUUAUCCGGAUUCAUUGGGCGUAAAGCGCUCGUAGGCGGUCUGUUAGGUCGGGAGUUAAAUCCGGAGGCUCAACCUCCGUUCGCUCCCGAUACCGGCAGACUUGAGUUUGGUAGGGGAAGGUGGAAUUCCUAGUGUAGCGGUGGAAUGCGCAGAUAUUAGGAAGAACACCAGUGGCGAA